GGAUGUGAGGGCUAUCUGGCUGCGACAUCUGUCACCCCAUUGAUCGCCAGGGUUGAUUCGGCUGAUCUGGCUGGCUAGGCGGGUGUCCCCUUCCUCCCUCACCGCUCCAUGUGCGUCCCUCCCGAAGCUGCGCGUUCGGUCGAAGAGGACGGCCUUCCCCGAAUAGAGACGGACAGGUCUUCGGUCGAGGGUAUACGAGUAGCUGCGCUCCCCUGCUAGAACCUCCAAACAAGCUCUCAAGAACAUCUAGAUAUUUUAAAAAGGAAGGCAAGUUUGGGUAUCUAGCCUAUUUCAUUAGAAAAGAAAU
rnacentral:snRNA from 1 species